rnacentral:lncRNA from 1 species
GGAGUGUCCGCGAUGGGGGAGGCGGGAGCGGGACGUCUUUCCUCUCUAUUGUCUGCGGACCUACUCUUUGUCUUCUACUGUGAAUCGGAAGUAGUUUGUGGGAAAUCUCUCGGCCAAUGAGACUAUUCUUCCGCCCCUCUCCCUCCUUCCCUAGCUGAGACUCAAGGUCACGCAGAUGGUAACUGGCUCUGAGGUAUCAGUACCAUGUCUGUGUCAUAAAAGGAAUUUGAACAAAUUUGCUCCUCAAGGGGAACAUAGACUGCUGAAAAAUCAAGAAGACUUGGGGCAGAACUGUGGUCUUCUAGAUACAACCUGAAGAUCUGAAGAAAGGCCCUGGACUGGAGAUUAACCUGUCUGAAAUGCAAACACCCCCCCAGGCUAGCUUCACAGAAAAAUCAAGUUGGGGAGCCCUGAAGCUAGCUGGGUGUGACUAAAGCCUCUGCAGGAACUCCAGAGAUUUUCAGUUCCCAGAACUGUUUGUGGAGUCAGGAUUUGAAUCUGGGAUGACAGAGUGAACCUCAGACAAUUGGGAAUGCUGAGCCUAGCUGUGCUGCUGAGAGAUGGCCCUGGGCAAGAAGGAACCACCACCUGCUAAACCAGCAUUGUUCAUUUUAUCUCCUGUGCUUCUUUUUGUGUCAUUUGAAGUCUUUUUGGCCAAAUGAUUCCUGUUUCCAUUACUCUUCUGAAUGAUUUGUAUUUGACAAAUACCCACCUUUCAACUAAACUAAAUCAUCUCAGCAAUAUUGAAGAAUCAAAAUGGAAGGAAUCUACAAAGAGAAGAAAAAUGGAAAAGAUUUUCAAUAAGC